GAUGAACGCUGGCGGCGUGCUUAACACAUGCAAGUCGAACGGGAAACCUUUUAUUGAAGCUUCGGCAGAUUUAGCUGGUUUCUAGUGGCGGACGGGUGAGUAACGCGUGGGUAACCUGCCCUAUACAGGGGGAUAACAACCAGAAAUGGUUGCUAAUACCGCAUAAGCGCACAGGGCCGCAUGGUCCGGUGUGAAAAACUCCGGUGGUAUAGGAUGGACCCGCGUUGGAUUAGCCAGUUGGCAGGGUAACGGCCUACCAAAGCGACGAUCCAUAGCCGGCCUGAGAGGGUGAACGGCCACAUUGGGACUGAGACACGGCCCAGACUCCUACGGGAGGCAGCAGUGGGGAAUAUUGCACAAUGGGGGAAACCCUGAUGCAGCGACGCCGCGUGAAGGAAGAAGUAUCUCGGGAUGUAAACUUCUAUCAGCAGGGAAGAUAGUGACGGUACCUGACGAAGAAGCCCCGGCUAACUACGUG
rnacentral:rRNA from 1 species